UACGGGGGGGGCAAGCGUUGUUCGGAAUUACUGGGCGUAAAGGGUUCGUAGGUGGCCGAUUAAGUCAGACGUGAAAUCCCUCAGCUCAACUGGGGAACUGCGUCUGAUACUGGUUGGCUUGAGUGCAGGAGAGGAACGCGGAAUUCCAGGUGUAGCGGUGAAAUGCGUAGAUAUCUGGAGGAACACCGGUGGCGAAGGCGGCGUUCUGGACUGCAACUGACACUGAGGAACGAAAGCCAGGGGAGCAAACGGG
rnacentral:rRNA from 1 species